CUGGCUUCUGAAGAUCCAGUCGUCUGAGCGAAAAUGAUGACAAGAUCAUUCGGAGUUAUUAAUACCGACCACAAUCUACAAUCUCGGUCAAGCAAAGUUCGAAACAUAAUAAGACUUUCUCGUAUAGAAUAUUACAAGCUAUAUACUGCGUAAACAUUGAUGAGGAGAUCCACAAUCGAUGAGAUACGGGAACUGUAAAUAACCAUUCCAUGUGAACAUGUAUCUUGGUGAUUAAGCUUUUUAGGAUAUCAGAUUAUGACAGGAAAACCUAGCAAGGAUACAAGGUAGUACAUAUAUCUGCUGUAAGAUUUUAGGAUGACUUUAAUUCUCUGCAAAAUCAGUUGGCUAGACCUGAUGACUCCUGUCAGUAUCAGCAAUAGUAUCUUCUACGGACCUGCACGUCCAUCCCAAAUUCUGCAAUUCCCUUGAACUCAACUUUAUAUCUUCUUCUACUUCAAUGAAACUGUGAUGACAUAGUCAAUCGAUAAUAUAGCAUUAAAAAAAUACAGAUGAAAACAAACUUGAGGGUGCAUUAUCCAUUGCGUUAAUCAUCUUUCAUUUUCUUGCUACCAACGAGAAUUACCUUCGGGGGUAGUUGUAGCUAUGAUAGAUGCUCUUCAAGUUGUCCGCUAAUGCUGGAGUUCUAAUCGAAUAUGAUGUGUGUAUGUAUCUUCCUUUUGCUCAUGUUUUUUCAUAUACCAGCAGAAGUGCUUCUGCCACAUCAAGUACAUCUACAACAGGAAAAUCUCUGAUCUCUGGCACGAAGGAGGAUGUCGAAGCCAUCUUUAUAGUCUUAGCGGCUGAUAUAAUCCUCUAAUGUUCUGAAGCCGGGGGCCAAAACACACCUUGAAGAUUGAUCCCUGGUCUAUAGUUAGCGAUCAAUCAUCUUUAAUUGUAUCUGCUGAAUGUUUUUCUUGCUUUGAGUGAAGAAGUUAGGUUGUUAUAACUUUCCCAUGGUGUCCUUCAAGAUUUAUUUAUUCCUAACCUUAAAGAGAUUUGGUUGUUUGAUGAUGGCGGAUCACUAAUUCCGAACAAUUUUUUCAUCCUCUUUAGUGUCUUAGUUUUGUCUUGCUUCCAAUCCUCAAACCCACGCAUGCAAGAAAGGUGAAGCGAUGAAGAAACAUACUGCAUUUUCCAUAGUUUUACAAUGGGGGAUCAUUGAUUGUACUGGUUUACAAACAUUUAUACCAGGAUUCUGUACCUGCAUGCUUCAGUUUAUCUUAGCUAUCUAUACAGGUGCAUAAAUCGAGUUGUUUGUUUGCAAUCUAGUUGAUUCAUCACAUCAACUUUCUAACUGGUUUUUCCGCCAGCAGGGUUGCUUUGUUAAAAUGAGCAUGCUGCUACUGGCAAUCAUGAACUGGUUUCGCUCCAGAUAUUGCAAGGCCAUCUUGCCAUUCAAUAACUAAAAAUUACAUGCUUUGGUUCGCAGAAGUAAUUCGUUAGAACAACUCAGCACUAAGUUAUGUUAGUAAACUUGGUUUCAGGUUUUAAUUGUAACAAAGAUGACAUUAAAUUCCUUUUCUUAAUUACUCAACAUAUGUUAUAAGACUCUCAUAAAUGCCAUCGCAAUAUUGUUGAUCUUAUGAUUCUCUUCCAUUCAUGCUUUAAGAAACUUGGCUAUUUGUUGUGUCAGCUUACGACUACCCAUGAUCAGCAAGAUUUACAUAGCUUGCCAGUACAAGCAGAUGCUAUUGAAACAAAAGCUAAUUAGGGAGGGACUUUGGCUCAUAACCCUGAGGAACAUUUCAUAGCUAUGAUAUAUUCGGAUGCUGGUGGGCUUCGAUAGAAUUCAAACAUUGUUAUAAAACAGAAUGAGUUAACUCGGCUAUUCAA